GAUGAACGCUGGCGGCGUGCCUAAUACAUGCAAGUCGAGCGAAUGGAUUAAGAGCUUGCUCUUAUGAAGUUAGCGGCGGACGGGUGAGUAACGCGUGGGUAACCUGCCCAUAAGACUGGGAUAACUCCGGGAAACCGGGGCUAAUACCGGAUAACAUUUUGAACCGCAUGGUUCGAAAUUGAAAGGCGGCUUCGGCUGUCACUUAUGGAUGGACCCGCGUCGCAUUAGCUAGUUGGUGAGGUAACGGCUCACCAAGGCAACGAUGCGUAGCCGACCUGGGAGGGUGAUCGGCCACACUGGGACUGAGACACGGCCCAGACUCCUACGGGAGGCAGCAGUAGGGAAUCUUCCGCAAUGGACGAAAGUCUGACGGAGCAACGCCGCGUGAGUGAUGAAGGCUUUCGGGUCGUAAAACUCUGUUGUUAGGGAAGAACAAGUGCUAGUUGAAUAAGCUGGCACCUUGACGGUACCUAACCAGAAAGCCACGGCUAACUUCGUGCCAGCCGCCGCAGUAA
rnacentral:rRNA from 1 species